rnacentral:rRNA from 1 species
AUUCUGGCUCAAUAUAAAUACCAAAUUACUAAAAGUUAUAACCUCUAAAAUUAAAGGAUUUGGCGGUAAUUUAGUCCAGUUAGAGGAACCUGUGCUGUAAACGAUAUACCCCGAAGAAUCUUACCUAUUUUAAACAGCUUGUAUACCAUCAUUAUUAGAUGACUUUUAAAAAAUCUAAGCUAUCUCAAUAAAACGACACUUAAUAUAUUAGAUCAAGGCGCAGCUUAUACUUAGGAAUUACAUGGGUUACAAUAAAUCUUAUCUACACGAAUGCAAGUUUUAAAUAACUUUCUGAAGGAGGAUUUAAUAGUAAAUUUAAUUUAAUAAGUUAAAUUGAUAAAGGAUCUAAAUUGUGUACAUAUCGCCCGUCAUUUUCAAUAACCAUGGAACAAGUCGUAACAUAG